UACCAGCACCCCGAGUGGUCGGGACGAUUAUUGGGCCUAAAGCAUCCGUAGCCGGUUCUGCAAGUCCCCCGUUAAAUCUAGCUGCUCAACAGAUGGGCCGCGGAGGAUACUACAGAGCUAGGAGGCAGGAGAGGCAAGCGGUACUCAGUGGGUAGGGGUAAAAUCCGUUGAUCCAUUGAAGACCACCAGUGGCGAAGGCGGCUUGCCAGAAUGCGCUCGACGGUGAGGGAUGAAAGCUGGGGGAGCAAACCGG
rnacentral:rRNA from 1 species